rnacentral:lncRNA from 1 species
AACAGAACUUUUCUAUUUCAUUUUUACUUAAAAGGCCAGUAAACAGGCUCCGACCUUUUUUUUUUUUUUUUUACACCCCCUGAACAAGCUCGCCAAUUCGCACAGUAGACCGUGGCGAUCACAUUUUCCAAAUAUUACAGCGCCGCGCACUGCGCAAACCCUCCAUUUCGAAAAACAAUUCCCGCGCCUCUUUCCUUCGCCUGACCAAUCCCCCUCGUACGCGCAAUGAUGCAAACUUGCCAUGUGCAACUUGACGUACCAUUGGGCUCGUCAAUUGGUCUAAACCAGGUCUCAACAAGUUAAUGUCAGUUCCUGUUCCCAACCACCACUACGAAACUGCACCUUGU